rnacentral:rRNA from 1 species
GACGAACGCUGGCGGCGUGCUUAACACAUGCAAGUCGAACGGGGUCCAUCCAGUGGCAACACCGGAGAAGACCCAGUGGCGAACGGGUGAGUAACACGUGAGGAACCUGCCCCGAAGACCGGGAUAACAGCGGGAAACCGCUGCUAAUACCGGAUACCCCCACCGAGUCACAUGGCCUGGUGAGGAAAUGGAUUCCGCUUCGGGAGGGCCUCGCGGCCUAUCAGCUUGUUGGUGAGGUGACGGCUCACCAAGGCGACGACGGGUAGCUGG